UUUGCAGUGCUAGGGUCUGGUGUCUGUGGAGCACAUACUGUAGAAAUAUGUAUAUAUUACAAAGGCUUUUGUGUGUGUCUUUUCAGAUAUUUUUUUUCCUGCCGUUACUGUAUAGUAGUUGCACUUUCCAAGAUUUGCUUAGGAAUGGAAGUCAUAAUUUUCAGCUGGCAUACCCCCAUCUGGACAUUUCCUGGAGACUGCUGCAGUUUUUUGCCUGUGCAUGAAGUUGCUGGCAUGCUUUAGAAUUUCUUUGUGUUUUCUUCUGGGAUACAGAUUUCCCACACCUUCUCACUUUUUCUACUAAUCCCACAUUCUUGUUCAAAGCAGCAUAGCCAUGGUCAAGGAUGGAAGGAUUCACUUACUUCUGUACCUCAUCAACAUUCCUUAAAGUCAGUAGGCUAACCAAAGGAGAACGCAUUUUUUUCCUCCUUACAGAUAGUCUCAGAUGUAUUUUUUCUUGAACAUCUUACACAAGUUGAGCCAUUUGUAGACAUAACUGGAAGGGAAAAAUGCAUCACUGGUAUAUUUCUCUGAGUUUUUAGCUAUAUUCUACAUUGGCAAAAUGUUGUUUUUUCAGUGCUUCUCUCCAUUACAAUUUAGAGUAUAUUCUUUCUUAGCAGGACACAUCUCUGGUUAUUUUCUCUAAUGACAGUUUUUGAUGUGAAACUUGACUAGAUUUGCCAAAAUCGACAAACCAGUGAACCAAGACUGGUUUAGAGGAAGAAAAGGCUGGAGUUAGUGUUCUGCAGUAGAGAGUCUACUUUGGCCAAGUUCUGCUUUGUAUUUUGGAAGUUUCUUGGAUAACAAAACCUUCGGGUGCAAGCCCAAAUGAACCCGGGGAAAGGAGUUAGAAGCAGGAUCCUCUGCCAAACAGCAUCACCAAGCUUUGUUCUAACUCUCAUGACUCUACCUGACUGUGGCUGCUUUUCUGUAUGAGGGAUUUAUCUGUUUGACAGGUGUGCUGUUUCUUGUCUGUUCUGUGGUUCUAGCUGAUUUCUUUCAAAUAGGAGUGUCAUUUUAAAAACAAAAUGAGAUUUAAGUAUAUAUUAAUUUUGUCUUGGAAACAGCUCUGAUGUGUAUCCAAGACCAGUACUUCUGACCACAAUAUGAUGCAUUAGGAAAAAACAAGAUGCUAAUUAGACUUCCUACUCCUGCCUCUUUGGAGUCAACAGACAUUGUGUACUGCUUGCUUCUUGGCAAAACUAGAAUACAGACAUAAGGAUCAGACAGCGCCUUGCGUUUCCUACAUUCCCAAUGGAGCUGAACUUCUGAAGGGAGAGCUGUGCAUUUUUAUAUUUAACUUUGAUUACUUACUUCAUGAACCAUCCCUAACAUGGGACUGGGGCCAAAGCAAAAAAAUCUAGCCUUUAUUUUGAUUACAGUGAUGGAUUUUUAUUAUAAUUUUUGGAGUUCUAUUUUUGGUAUUGUAUUUUACUAGUAAAUUCUCAUGAGUCUCAUUCAACCAGUGGCCAUUUUUCUGUUGAGAAUGUUUUCUAUUUUCUAUAGUGCAAGCUCAAUAAAACUGAUAAAGUUUAAGAAAAA